rnacentral:misc_RNA from 1 species
CCGAGUUUACAACUCCCAAACCCCUGUGAACCUUACCCAUUCGUUGCUUCGGCGGACACGCCCCGGCGCCCCCGUGCCCGGACCCGGCGCCCGCCGAGGGACCCCAAAACCCGUCUCGUCAGUGACUUAUCUGAGUGGCGCAAGCAAAUACAAUCA